rnacentral:rRNA from 1 species
GCCAUCAGCAAUAUCACUUUGAAUGUACCUGGUCUCCUAUGAUCUCAGAAGCUAAGCAGGGUUGGGUCUGGUUAGUACUUGCAUGAAAAUAUUGAAAGCAGGGACUUGAAGGGA